rnacentral:rRNA from 2 species
GGAAAGAUGAAAAGAACUUUGAAAAGAGAGUUAAACAGUACGUGAAAUUGUUGAAAGGGAAACGAUUGAAGUCAGACAUACCAACGGGAAAUCAACCUUUUGAGCUUUGUCUCGUGGGUUCGAAGAGUUUAAACGCCUUCGGGUUCGCGAGAUUGGGAUCUUCUGGUGUACUUUCUCGUACGGUUAGUCAACAUCGGUUUUGAAUGUCAUAAAAUGACUGGAGGAAUGUAGCUUCGAUCUCGUAUCGAAGUGUUAUAGCCUUUGGUAGAUGUGAUGUUUGAGACCGAGGAUUGCAACGGAUACCCUUCAUGGGCUAUUCGUCUGAUCUCUGAUACGUUGCCUUGACGUUGAAAGCUUGCUUAUGAUGUUAGGGUAUUACGGUCAAAAGGUUAGAACGGAUUAAAUUCGUUAAGGAUGUUGACGUAAUGACUUUAAACGACCCGUCUUGAAACACGGACCA